rnacentral:tRNA from 1 species
CCCUGGGUGGCCCAAAUGGUUAAGUGGUUGGCUGCCAACCAAAAGGUUGGUGGUUCAAACCCACCCAGAGGCU